GUAGAUAGUGAAGGAAGUGGUGCUGAGAAUUGUGCAUCCGCUCUUUUACUCGCAUCUGAGGACUUUUACCAACAUCAGCUGCAAUCGAUUUGCGGAUUUUGAAGCUUCACAGCAUAUUUAAGGAUGGCGAAAGAGAGAAAAGAAGGAGAAGAGAGAGGGGAAAAUCUUGAUUAAAACUAAUCAAGCCAACCAAUAAAAUUGUAACAUUCCUGCUAUACGAUUAUAUCCAGUGCUUUCCGUGUUGAAUAACCGCAGUUUCUCCCUAGAAGAUUACAUUUGUCAUCAAAACUUGGUAACUAAAGACUCACACUUGGUCAGGAUAAAACCAAAUGUUCAAUCCUUCGAAUCAUUACUUUCACCAAUAGUACUAUCUCCUACAAUCGAAAACCUAUCCAUCCAAGCUAGCCAGCAAAAUUUAGUUAGGGCUAUAAAUGAGUUCCAACAGAAUUUAGCUGACUGGUUUGAAUGGAUCGAUUCUCGACAGUGGCACAUAGUAAGAAUCAGUUACGCCAGAAUAUCAAGUAAAAUCAACUGUCCACAGCUUAAGCUUUGAUGAUGCUGCACUUGCACAAAUUCCUCAAGCAACCAUCACAAGUUGGCACAAUCCAGCA